rnacentral:misc_RNA from 1 species
CUUUGAUUGAUAUGUAUGCAAAAUCAGGGCAUUCAUCCAAAGCAUCCAAUGUGUUCUACCUAAUGCCUGAAAAGAAUGUUGUUUCUUGGAAUGCCAUGGUCGCUAAUUUUGCUCAAAACAGGCUUGAAUUAUUAGCUAUAGAGUUAGUGAGACAAAUGCAAAUUGAUGGCGAGAUUCCAAAUUUGGUCACCUUCACAAAUGUUCUUCCGGCUUGUGCACGAAUGGGAUUCCUUCGUCCUGGAAAAGAAGUCCAUGCAAGGAUAAUCCGCAUCGGCUGCCAUUUUGAUUUGUUUGUCUCCAACGCACUUACAGAUAUGUAUGCAAAAUGUGGUUACCUAAAUCUUGCUCAACGUGUCUUUAACACCUCCCUUAAAGAUGAAGUAUCUUAUAACAUUUUAAUUAUAGGAUAUUCUGAAACGACUAAUUGCUCAGAAUCUCUUGGUUUAUUCUUAGAAAUGGGGCUUAUAGGUUUGAAGCAUGAUGUAGUUUCCUACAUGGGUGCUAUUGCAGCUUGUGCAAAUCUAGCUGCAUUGAAGCAAGGAAAAGAGAUCCAUGGAUUAGUUGUAAGAAAGCAUUUGCACAUGCAUAUCUUCAUUGCUAACACAUUUUUGGACUUCUAUGUCAAAUGUGGGCGAAUUGAUCUUGCCCAUAAGAUCUUUGAUCGGACUCCAGACAAGGACGCAGCCUCUUGGAAUACUAUGGUUUUAGGUUAUGGAAUGCUAGGUGAGUUGAAGAUUGCCAUCAAUCUCUUUGAAGCAAUGAAAGAAGAUGGAGUUGAAAAUGAUUCAGUAUCAUACAUUGCAGUCUUGUCAGCUUGUAGUCAUGGUGGGCUAGUUGAAAAGGGAAAGAAAUACUUUGAGAAAAUGCUGGCUCAGAAUAUUAAGCCAACAAACAUGCACUAUGCUUGUAUGGUUGAUCUGCUUGGCAGGGCUGGACUAUUGGAAGAAGCUGUAAAAUUCAUUGAAGUCUUGCCUAUUGAACCAGACGCCAAUAUUUGGGGUGCUUUGCUUGGGGCAUGCCGAAUCUAUGGGAAUAUAGAGUUGGCGUGUUGGGCAGCUGAACAUCUGUUUAAGUUAAAGCCACAACAUUGUGGAUACUACGCAAUUCUUUCAAACAUGUAUUCAGAAGCAGGAAAAUGGGAUGAAGCAGACAGGGUAAGGGAAUUGAUGAAGUUAAGGGGUGCACAGAAGAACCCUGGUUGCAGUUGGGUCCAAAUUGACAACCAGACUGCAACCAGGUUCAUGCUUUCGUAUCAGGAGAAAAAAUAACAAAAUUCAAUUCAGGUUCUUGGCUUGCAGAAUCAUGAUAAAGUUAUCAGACAUCACGGUUGAGUUUGAAGGCUCAUUAGAAAGAGAGCUCGGUCUCCUUAGCAUUUUUUUCCCCUUUUUGGGAUACAGUGUAAGAGAUGAAGCAGGAUUCUCUAUUGUGAAUAUCUGUUGUCAAUUGUGUAUUUUUCAUCCAUAUUUCUCAUAUGAAAUUUCAGGACAUGUAGCUCAUGUUCCAAGGGAUUGUAGAUCUCUACUUGUGUUAAGCCCUGGACAAGUCAUCCAUGCAAUGCAUGUCUGCAACCUAGCCACUGCAAGAAACUCCGGAACAAAGAACUGUAAGAAUCAACAGAAGGCAUCAAACUUCUCUAUUUACUCAAGCUGGAG